UGGCCUCUUUUGUCCCCUGCUCUGCCACA
rnacentral:piRNA from 1 species